GACGAACGCUGGCGGCGUGCUUAACACAUGCAAGUCGAACGGGAACUCCGGGUUUAGUUGGGGACGGGUGGGUACCGCGUGGGAACCUGCCCGUGGGUUACGUGUCACUCCCCGAAGGGGAUGCUAAUAACGCCUAGUGUAAUCGGACCAAAGAUUUAUGGCUUUUGGGUGGGGGCGCGUUGGUUUAGCUCGUUGGUAGGGUAAUAGCGUGCCAAGGCGACGAUCCAUAGCUGGUCUGUGAGGAUGAUCAACCCCACUGGGACUGAGACACGGCCCAGACUGGGACGGGAGGCAGCAGUGGGGAAUAUUGGAGAAGGGGCGAAGGCCUGAUCAAGCCAUGCCGCGUGAGUGAUGAAGGCCUUAGGGUUGUAAAGCUCUUUUAGCCGGGAUGAUAAUGACAGUACCGGGAGAAGAAGCACCGGCUAACUCCGUG
rnacentral:rRNA from 1 species